AUUUUCAACAUCCACAUAUUCCUAUAAAUAUUAAAAACCACUUAUUUACGGAGUCAUACAUUCAAGUUUUUGCUUUCAUUAUUUUAUCAUAGCUUUACGUCUCGUUUUCCUCAGCACACUCGACACAGCAGCCAACCAGGUCAGAAAAAUAGAGUCUUUGUUUCUCCAACAGACUGGUCAAUUAUUAUCACAGCGGCGUGGCCGGACUUUGACCAGAGCUGCCUGGGAAAAACAAGGGCGCAGAAGUAGCUGGUGAGAAGCGAUGGAUAGUCCGUCAUCACUCCUGUGGCUCCCAGUUCUAACGCUGCUUUUAUGUCUUCAUCUUCGUUGCAAACAAAUAAAUGCACCUACAAUUACAGAUAAUA